UAAAGUGUAUUUCACGGAGCUAAAAUGCGUCAUAAGACGCAAUAAAAAGCACAGAACCAGCCUUAGCACCAGUCGAAACAGGCAUCAAGAAAGCCGUGCACGUGCAGCAGAUGAGACUUUGUGGAAAAAUGAGUGGAGCAGUGAGACGUGGUUCUCCAGUGGAAGUCAUGGAUCAGCAGGAGCAGCCAUCUUAAAAGCUCCAUUUAAAGGGAUCAGCAUGAAUAAAGCCUUUCAUGAAGCGGAGCAUGGCUGAAUUUCUCCCGUGUGUAACACAUGGAGUUCAAAGCUUCACACACCUGGAAACAGCAGCAGGGUUAUGUCACUGCUGCAGGUUUGUGAUGAAGUGGAGCGAAAACAUCCAGCUUUGGGAAAGAAGUGACAAAGAUUUGACUGCGUCUGCAAAAAGUGCUUCACCU